rnacentral:rRNA from 1 species
GACGAACGCUGGCGGCGUGCUUAACACAUGCAAGUCGAACGGAAAGGCCCUGCUUUUGUGGGGUGCUCGAGUGGCGAACGGGUGAGUAACACGUGAGUAACCUGCCCUUGACUUUGGGAUAACUUCAGGAAACUGGGGCUAAUACCGGAUAGGAGCUCCUGCUGCAUGGUGGGGGUUGGAAAGUUUCGGCGGUUGGGGAUGGACUCGCGGGUUAUCAGCUUGUUGGUGGGGUAGUGGCUUACCAAGGCUUUGACGGGUAGCCGGCCUGUGGGGGUGACCGGCCACAUUGGGACUGAGAUACGGCCCAGACGCGUACGGGAGGCAGCAGUGGGGAAUAUUGCACAAUGGGCGGAAGCCUGAUGCAGCAACGCCGCGUGCGGGAUGACGGCCUUCGGGUUGUAAACCGCUUUCGCCUGUGACGAAGCGUGAGUGACGGUAAUGGGUAAAGAAGCACCGGCUAACUACGUG